rnacentral:rRNA from 1 species
GUGUGGAUGCACAGACAGCCAGGAGGUUGGCUUAGAGCAGCCAUUUCCUUAAAAGAGUGCGUUCCAGCUCAGCUGGUCGAGCAUUCAUGCGCCAGACAAUGUAACGGGGCUAAGCAUAAUACCGAAGCCCAUGGACUCAUAUCUUUAGGAUAUGAUUGGUAGGGGAUCAUUCCAUUAACUGAAGAAGGAAUACUCGCGAGGGGUUCUGGAGGAGAUGGAAGAGAGAAUGCAGGUAUAAGUAACGAAAAGACGGGUGGGAUUCCCGUCCGCCCAAAACAUAAGGGUUCCAGGUUAAAGGCAAUCUGCCCUGGGUAAAAUCGGCCCCUAAGGCCAGGUCGAAAGACGUAGCCGAUGGGAAAUCGGUUUAUAAUCCGAUCCCUUCCACAGUUUUCAGGACAGGACGCAUGAGGUAAAAUCCGGCCGGAGAACGGCUGUUCCGGUCAAAGCGCCGAGCCGAUGAGGGCCGCAGGCAAAUCCGCGGUCCGAGGUGAGGCGUUACAGCGAGCGGAGAGAAAGUCGAAGCGAAGCGGAUGUAGUCAGGGUGCCGGGAAAUACUGUCUAAGGCUAGGCUGUGGAGGACCGUACCGUAAACGGACACACGUAUGUGGGAUGAGAAAUCUAAGGCGCACGAGCGACCUCGCGUUAAGGAACUCGGCAAAACGCACACGUAACUCGGAAGAAGUGGGAUCGA